rnacentral:rRNA from 1 species
GACGAACCGUGCGAACGUUGUUCGGAAUCACUGGGCUUAAAGGGCGCGUAGGCGGCCACCGCAAGUCGACUGUGAAAUCUCCGGGCUUAACCCGGAAAGGUCAGCCGAUACUGCGGGGCUAGAGUGCAGAAGGGGCAACUGGAAUUCUCGGUGUAGCGGUGAAAUGCGUAGAUAUCGAGAGGAACACCUGCGGCGAAGGCGGGUUGCUGGGCUGACACUGACGCUGAGGCGCGAAAGCUAGGGGAGCGAACGGG